UGUUGUACUGACAGUCGUGCCCUGAAGGCUAUGCUGUGAGCAGCCACAAAUAUUCAAAUAUGAAUUGCAUUCAUAUAAAAACAAUUUACAUGCAUGCAAUUUCUCAUAUGAAUUGUAUAGGUAGAGAGGGAGGAUUGUGAUGCUAAAUAAAAUGGCUGUUAUCUUCACAUUGGAUUACAUUCUUCUGUUAGUCUGCAUUGCUUUUACAUGGUGAUAUCCGAAUAGUUAAUACAAUAGCAAUUGUAUCUUUGCUUAAGCUCUUUUUGUGUUUGUUUCAGAUCAAUGGAUAGCUUUGUCAUUAACACUUUGACAGAGUGCCAGACCUUGUCGAAAGAUUUAAAGUAGCUUCCAUGUAAUGUGUCAAAGUGACUCCAAUAGAUGAAUAGAGCCAGCCACUGGAUUCCUGGAGGAAAGGCUGCGAAACGUCAGGAAGCGGCUGAGAUCAACCAGCAGGUCGCAGAGCACGGCACAGACACCACCACAAACGCCAGAUGAUGGCGCUCUUGCAAGGGCUCUCAUACCAGAAUGUACCAUAUCAGAC